rnacentral:rRNA from 1 species
CAGCAGCCGCGGUAAUACGUAGGGUGCAAGCGUUAAUCGGAAUUACUGGGCGUAAAGCGUGCGCAGGCGGUUAUAUAAGACAGAUGUGAAAUCCCCGGGCUCAACCUGGGAACUGCAUUUGUGACUGUAUAGCUAGAGUACGGCAGAGGGGGAUGGAAUUCCGCGUGUAGCAGUGAAAUGCGUAGAUAUGCGGAGGAACACCGAUGGCGAAGGCAAUCCCCUGGGCCUGUACUGACGCUCAUGCACGAAAGCGUGGGGAGCAAACAGGAUUAGAUACCCCUGUAGUGCCUGUCUCUUAUAC